CAAAGGAAGCGAUUCCGGCGGGGGAUGGGCAUGCGGCGCAUUAGCUAGUCGGCGGGGUAACGGCCCACCGAGGCGACGAUGCGUAGGGGUUCUGAGAGGAAGGUCCCCCACACUGGUACUGAGACACGGACCAGACUCCUACGGGAGGCAGCAGUGAGGAAUAUUGGUCAAUGGGCGGGAGCCUGAACCAGCCAAGUCGCGUGAGGGAAGACGGUCCUAUGGAUUGUAAACCUCUUUUGCCGGGGAGCAACGGGGUCCUUGCGAGGGCCUGAUGAGAGUACCCGGAGAAAAAGCAUCGGCUAACUCCGUGCCAGCAGCCGCGGUAAUACGGAGGAUGCGAGCGUUAUCCGGAUUUAUUGGGUUUAAAGGGUGCGUAGGCGGGCUGUUAAGUCAGCGGUCAAAUGUCGGGGCUCAACCCCGGCCUGCCGUUGAAACUGGUGGCCUCGAGUGGGCGAGAAGUAUGCGGAAUGCGUGGUGUAGCGGUGAAAUGCAUAGAUAUCACGCAGAACUCCGAUUGCGAAGGCAGCAUACCGGCGCCCGACUGACGCUGAGGCACGAAAGCGUGGGUAUCGAACAGGAUUAGAUACCCUGGUAGUCCACGCAGUAAACGAUGAAUGCUAGCUGUCCGGGGCUUCGGUCCUGG
rnacentral:rRNA from 1 species